AUUGAACGCUGGCGGCAGGCCUAACACAUGCAAGUCGAGCGGAUGAGAGAAGCUUGCUUCUCGAUUCAGCGGCGGACGGGUGAGUAAUGCCUAGGAAUCUGCCUGGUAGUGGGGGACAACGUUUCGAAAGGAACGCUAAUACCGCAUACGUCCUACGGGAGAAAGCAGGGGACCUUCGGGCCUUGCGCUAUCAGAUGAGCCUAGGUCGGAUUAGCUAGUUGGUGAGGUAAUGGCUCACCAAGGCGACGAUCCGUAACUGGUCUGAGAGGAUGAUCAGUCACACUGGAACUGAGACACGGUCCAGACUCCUACGGGAGGCAGCAGUGGGGAAUAUUGGACAAUGGGCGAAAGCCUGAUCCAGCCAUGCCGCGUGUGUGAAGAAGGUCUUCGGAUUGUAAAGCACUUUAAGUUGGGAGGAAGGGUUGUAGAUUAAUACUCUGCAAUUUUGACGUUACCGACAGAAUAAGCACCGGCUAACUACGUGCCAGCCGCCGCGGUAAGAC
rnacentral:rRNA from 1 species